AUACGGAAGGUCCGGGCGUUAUCCGGAUUUAUUGGGUUUAAAGGGAGCGCAGGCGGAGAUGCAAGCGUGACGUCAAAUUUCGGGGCUCAACCCCGUCUCGCGUCGCGAACUGCGUCCCUUGGUUGCGGGAAGGGGAGGCGGAACUCGUGGUGUAGCGGUGUAAUGCAUAGAUAUCACGAAGAACUCCGAUCGCGAAGGCAGCCUUCCGGCCCGUCAACGACGCUCAUGCUCGAAGGUGCGGGUAUCAAACAGGAUUAGAUACCCUGGUAGUCCGCACAGUAAACGAUGGACACCCGCGGUUUGGCCUGUAUGGCUGAGCCGCCAAGCGAAAGCGUUAAGUGUCCCACCUGGGGAGUACGCCGGCAACGGUGAAACUCAAAUGAAUUGACGGGG
rnacentral:rRNA from 1 species